ACUUAUCGAGAGUGAAAAUCAAAAACAUUUACCAUUAACGAUACAUCCCGGACUGAUCAGUUUCUACCUCUUUCUAGCAAACAGACAGAAUAUGUUUGCUAAGGCCGGUUUCAUCAGCGAGAAUCCUGAGUUAAAUCGAGAUGCGCAGCGUGUUAGACCAUCGGAUAUAUAUAUAUAUAUAU